rnacentral:rRNA from 1 species
UACGGAGGGUGCAAGCGUUAAUCGGAAUUACUGGGCGUAAAGCGUGCGUAGUCGGUUAUUUAAGUCGGGCGUGAAAGCCCCGGGCUCAACCUGGGAAUUGCGUUCGAUACUGGAUAGCUAGAGUUCGGCAGAGGGAAGCGGAAUUUCGGGUGUAGCGGUGAAAUGCGUAGAUAUCCGAAGGAACACCAGUGGCGAAGGCGACUUACUGGACGACUGUUGACGCUGAGGUGCGAAAGCGUGGGGAGCAAACAGG